UCCUCAUUCUACUUUUAAUUUAAUUGUUUUUUAAAAAAUGUUCUAAAGAACUUCACCGAUAAUAGUCUACAUCAAAAGAGGUGGUUCCUCCCAGAUAUCUCUAAUAUUUCAAAUCUUAUGAAUGCAAGAUUGAAAAGAUUUGAAUCCAAGAGGCCCUACCAUUUGGUUAGCCGGCACUUUCAGUGCAGGACCCUACCUAUUAGCUAGUGUUAAUGAGCCUCAGUGCA
rnacentral:lncRNA from 1 species